rnacentral:tRNA from 1 species
GCAUUGGUGGUUCAGUGGCAGAAUUCUCGCCUUCCAUGCGGGAGACCCUGGUUAGAUUCCUGGCCAAUGCA